rnacentral:rRNA from 1 species
AAGUCGUAACAAGGUUUCCGUAGGUGAACCUGCGGAAGGAUCAUUACACGUGAUUUAAGAGAUUUAAGAUAUUUCCUUUGUAAAACUUUUUGUAAAAAAGAAGUAGAAGGAGGGGAAUAUCUUAAAUUAAUUAAUCCCAACCCUUGUCGAUUUAAAAAAAUCUAUUUGUUGCUUCGGCGAUUUUACCAAGAUUUGUUCUAUUAUCUUCUCUCCUCUUGGGGGUGAAGGGAAAUAAAAGCUAUCUUGUCGCCAGAAGAAGAAAAAAAACUCUUUUUAAAACUAUAAUUGUCUGAAUUAUUUUGAGAUUGAGAUAACUUCUUGAUUGAAAAAAAAAUACAAAAUAAAAUACAACUUUCAACAACGGAUCUCUUGGUUCUGGCAUCGAUGAAGAACGCAGCGAAAUGCGAUAAGUAAUGUGAAUUGCAGAAUUUUGUGAAUCAUCGAAUCUUUGAACGCACAUUGCACCUUUUGGUAUUCCGAAAGGUAUGCUUGUUCGAGCGUCGUUUAAACAAAUAUCAAUAUAAUUUUUAAUUUAUUAUUAUUAAUUCAUUUUGAUGUCUUGAAGGAUUAAAGUCAAAUUUAACCUUUAAAAAGAAUUGAAGCGAUCUUGACUGAUUAUUAUUGAACGCAUUAAGUUUUUAUCCAAAUACAACAACUCGUGCAAGAAAAUUCAGUGUGAGAGCAGCCAAAUUUAAACCCACCAAAGAGCGACUAUUAUGUUAUUAUUUAAUAAUGAUAAUAAUAAUUCUCUUCUUUGGAAAAAAUAAUAAAAUAUCGACCUCGAAUCAAGUAGGAUUACCCGCUGAACUUAAGCAUAUCAAUAAGCGGAGGAAAAGAGACCAACAGGGAUUGCCUUAGUAACGGCGAGUGAAGCGGCAAAAGCUCAGAUUUGAAAUCUCUUUUUAUUCUUGAAAAGCGAAUUGUAAUCUGUAGAAGGUUGAAUGGCUGAAAUAUCUGAUUUAAGUUCCAUGGAAUCGGACAUCAUAGAGGGUGAGAAUCCCGUGAGUAUCAGAAACUAAGCUACUAAAUUCACCUUUCGACGAGUCGAGUUGUUUGGGAAUGCAGCUCUAAUUGGGUGGUAAAUUUCAUCUAAAGCUAAAUACCUGCCAGAGACCGAUAGCGAACAAGUAGAGUGAUCGAAAGAUGAAAAGCACUUUGAAGAGAGAGUUAAAUAGUACGUGAAAUUGUUGAAAGGGAAGCGCUUGCGAUUAGACUUGAUAUUUAAAUUCGAUUUUACUCACGGGUAAAGUUUAUUUUUUAUUUAUCAGGCCAGCAUCAGUUUGGUGAGAUUUAAAAAUAUUUUGGAAAUGUAGUUUUCAUUUCGGUGAAAAUGUUAUAGUUCAUUAUAUCAAAAAUUUAUACCAGACUGAGGUCUGCCAUUCUUGUAGGAUGCUGGCAUAAUGAUCGUAAGCGACC